rnacentral:misc_RNA from 1 species
ACCAAUGAUUACAGCGUCAAAAUGCGUAAUGUUUUCAAGUUUUUGGAAAACGGCGACAAAGUAAAAAUAACACUGCGUUUCCGUGGCCGCGAAAUGGCGCACCAAAACCUUGGACGUGAAUUGCUUGAGCGCGUUGCAGAAGACACAAAAGAGCACGGCAAAGUAGAAAACUUCCCAAAAAUGGAAGGCCGUCAGAUGGUUAUGCUUAUCGGACCUAUGCCGAAAUAAGCGACGAUCUUAUUUGCGGUUCAACAGACCACAACACCGAUCAAAAAGCCCCCAACGCCAACCGCGUGGGGGCUUUUUCUUUGUCCCGCAUUUGCCCCAUUCUUGGUCUAU